rnacentral:rRNA from 1 species
AGCCUGCCCACUGAUUUAGUUUAAAGGGCCGCGGUAUAUUGACCGUGCGAAGGUAGCAUAAUCAUUAGUCUUUUAAUUGAAGGCUUGUAUGAAUGGUUGGACAAAAAGUAAGCUGUCUCAAUUAUAAUAAUUGAAUUUAACUUUUAAGUGAAAAGGCUUAAAUAAAUUAAGGGGACGAUAAGACCCUAUAAAGCUUGACAAUAAUUUAAUUAUACUAUCAAUUGUUAGUAUAACUUGGUUUUAAUUAAUAUUUGUUGCGUUGGGGCGACGAGAAUAUAAUAGGUAACUGUUCUUAAAUAUUUAAUAACAAAUAUAAUUGGAAAUUAGUAUGAUCCUCUAUUAGCGAUUAAAAGAUUAAGUUACUUUAGGGAUAACAGCGUAAUCUUCUUUGAGAGUCCCUAUCGACAAGAAGGUUUGCGACCUCGAUGUUGAAUUAAGGUAUCCUUAUAAUGCAGCAGUUAUAAAGG